UGGAAGUGUUUACUCGGGCGAAAGAGCGAGUCAUUGGCCAGGCCACUCCCCCCUGGCUGGACACGCCGGCCGACCUCGGGGUCCCCCGGGACUGCGACUGUCCCUGAAGCUGCCCCAAGCGUCUUCCGAGUCCUAGAACUCAGGGAUGUGCUAAGGCCACUACCCUCUCCUCCGACCCUUUUAAUUCGGGCAGAAGAGGGCUACUGAGAAUCAAGACCCAAACUUUGUUUGACACAGUAAAACUGACUUUCCAGGGCUUUUUAAAACUCGUCUUGCGCACGCGGUUAAUGGUGGGUUCCUGAGGACGCCUCCGGGGAGCAGGGCUGGACCGGCCGGGCCGCGAGUGGGGCGCGCAGUGGCCCCGGGGCACAGGGACAGCCCUGGUCCUCUUGGGCCGGGGUCGGGCCCAGCUCGCGCAUAACGGCCCCGGACAGUCCGGGCGCGCUGGCUCGUACUCUCGUGGGUGGCCGCGGUGGGAGGCGCGGGAGUCCCUGCGCUCGGCCGGGCUCCAUGUUCCCGACCCGCUCCGGCCCGGGGAAGCUCUGGCCGGUGGCCCGGCAGAGGGCGCCCGCUCUCGAUCGCCGCGCCGGCCGAAGGAGGGAGGGCACUCGAGUGAGGCUCCAGGUGAGGAGCUGUGAAUCAUCCCGGGAGGGGGACCCGGUCCUCGUUCUGGGAAAGCAGCCAGGGAGUGGCCGCGGCGCUGUCGAGAGUCCGGGCUGCCCAGCGGCUGUUGGGCCGGGAGCGGCAGCUGUGCCCCGGGAAGUCUGGGGGAAGCUCGGAAAGAAGAUUCUAGCUACAUCAGAAACUGGUCAUUUUCUAAAACUAAAGGAGAAAACUAGGAAGGGGUGAUGAAUUCUUUCUGAGUUUCAAGUUACAAAAUAAAACGAAGACUUCGAGUAGAUGAGCUGGAAGACUGGGAGAGCUGAGACAGGAAGAUUUUGAGGUCAUUCUCCAUCUGAAGCUAUGAUUUAAACAUCAGCAUUACGGUCAGUAUUUAGAGAGAAAUAGAACCAUUCUGAGGUUAUAUACACAUCAUUGGUUUUGCCUGAAAUUCUGAGAAUAUGAUAAAGGACGUUGUGAGGGGUGAGUUUGUUUCAAUCACAUUCAACAAAGCAGAGCUCUGAGAAAAGUAAAGGUAUCUCAGUGAUAAGUUGUGGGACCACAAACAUCCAGGGGGAGAACCAUUCUGACACAGUAGCCGUGUGUUCCAGUGUGUAAAAGAAAAGCCAAGUUUAAUAUAUUGGAGUUUCCUUUUUGAACUGGGCUGUGGACAUGACAAAGCUUUUAUGGACUCUGAGUUAGACUUUUAGUGUGUGUGUAUUUUUUUUUUUUUAAGUCUUUAUUUUUUUAAGUCUUUAUUGAAUUAGUUGCAAUAUUGCUUCCGUUUAAUGGUUUGUUUCUUUGGCCUUGAGGCAUGUGGAUCUUAGCUGCCCAACCAGGGUUUGAACCUGCACCCCCUGCGUUGGAAGGCAAAGUCCCAACCACUGGACCACCAGCAAAGUCCCUGAGUUAAGACUCUGUAGAGGAAGGUGGGGCCAGGCAUUGCAAGGGCAACAGAAGCAUCUUUCUGGGGACUGUGCUGUCUGUCCUGUUGCUCUGGGGCAGGAUUUCUCAAAAUGUGUUCCAUAGAACACACUUCUCUAAGCUAUUAACGCACUGAGGACAGGGCCGUGAAGAUGGGUCUGUGCUACAGUGAGUUUGAAAAACAUUCAAUAACCUUCCUUCCUAAAGAGUCUCAGAAAUGGUUGAGUCUUGUGACUCUCCAUGGGCGUGUGGUUGGCAAGGCUCACCGGAGUCCCGUGGAGCUCUUACUCGGCAUCCUAAGUCCAGUGUUUAUGUGUUCAUUAAGUAUGUUUUAACACCUGCCACGUCCAUGUUAGAUGCUAAAAAUACAGCAGUAAAUGAGAUCAGCAGGGCUCGUGUAUAGGUAGCAAGAUAAGAAGUAAAUAAGAGCAAUUAUUUUUUUCCUCUUUUUAAAAAAAUUUUUUUAAUUGGAGUAUAGUUGCUUUACAAUGUUGUGUUCAUUUCUGCUGUGCAGCAAAGUGAAUCAGUUAUAGGUAUACAUAUAUUCCCUCUUUUUUGGAUUUCCUUCCCAUUUAGGUCAUCAUAGAACAUUAAGUAGAGCUCCCUGGGCUAUAUAGUAGGUUCUCCUUAGUUACCUAUUUUAUAUAUAGUAUAAAUAUAAUAGUGUAUAUAUGUCGGUCCCAGUCUCCCAAUUCAUUCCACCACUCCUUCCCCCCUUGGUGUCUGUACAUUUGUUCCGUACAUCUGUGUCUCUAUUUCUGCUUUGCAAAUGGGUUCAUCUGUACCAUUUUUUAGAUUCCACACAUAUGUGUUAAUAUAGCAGAUGUUUAAGAGAAUGGUCUCAGGAGUGAGGGGCCUGGGUUUGAAUCCUAAGUACGCCACUUACAAACCGCAUGACCUUGAACAAGACACUUAACCUCUCUUUCAAUGUUGACAUCUAUAAAAUGGUGAUAAUAGCAUCUACCUAGUGAGGUUGUUGUGAGGAUUAAAAUGAUGAAUCCAUGCUGGCAAAUACUAAACCUUAUGCAAGUGUGAUCACAAUGAAGGAUAAUGGCUGAGUGUGUUGACACGUGUGUGACACGUGUCUGGGGAGGAGGCGGUGGUGGAGUGGGGACUUGGAAUAGGGCGGUCCAGCUCUGCCUUGAAGCAGAGACCUGUAAAGAGGAGCAGCAUUGAGCCGUGGAGACGGUACAGGGAGCGAACACAGAGGGAACACAGCUGCACACGGGCCUGUCUCAUGCACAGGUAGAAGGGAUGAGGCAGAGGGUGAGAAGGUUAGAUAGCAUUACAGAUUCAGUGGACACGAAUUUGGGCAAACUCCAGGAGACAGUGGAGGACAGAGGAGCCCGCCUGGCAUGCUGCAGUCUACGGGACUGCAAAGAGUCAGACACGACUUAGCAAACGAACAACAACAACGACGACAGUGGUCUCAUGCAGAGAAAUCUGGACGUGUGUUGUGCAUACUAAUUUGGUUCACAAAUUUUAACACCUCUUUAAGAUUAAAUAAACAACAACAAACUAGACUCA
rnacentral:lncRNA from 1 species